AGCUGCAGUAUCUUGACUGUACAAAGGUAGCAUAAUCAUUAGUUAUUUAAUUGAAAGCUGGAAUGAAUGGCUGGAUAAGGAAAUAACUGUCUCUUUUUAAAUAAUUUGAACUUUAUUUUUAAGUAAAAAAGCUUAAAUUUAAUAAAAAGACGAGAAGACCCUAUAGAGUUUAAUAUGCUUGAUUCUUUAUAGUAUAGGGUUUUAUUAUAUAUAGAAUUAAGCUUAUUUUGUUGGGGUGACAAUAGAAUUAAUUAAACUUCUCUUUAUUAAUCAUUGAUUUAUGAAUAAAUGAUCCUAUUAUAUAGAUUAUAAGAAAAAAUUACCUUAGGGAUAACAGCGUAAUCCUUUUGGAGAGUUCUUAUCGAUAAAAGGGAUUGCGACCUCGAUGUUGGAUUAAAGUUUAAUGUUGGUGUAGAAGCUAAUAUAUUAAGACUGUUCGAU
rnacentral:rRNA from 1 species